rnacentral:rRNA from 1 species
AGACAGCAGCAGCCGCGGUAAUACGUAGGUCCCGAGCGUUGUCCGGAUUUAUUGGGCGUAAAGCGAGCGCAGGCGGUUAGAUAAGUCUGAAGUUAAAGGCUGUGGCUUAACCAUAGUACGCUUUGGAAACUGUUUAACUUGAGUGCAAGAGGGGAGAGUGGAAUUCCAUGUGUAGCGGUGAAAUGCGUAGAUAUAUGGAGGAACACCGGUGGCGAAAGCGGCUCUCUGGCUUGUAACUGACGCUGAGGCUCGAAAGCGUGGGGCGCAAACAGGAUUAGAUACCCCGGUAGUCCCUGUCUCUUAUACC